AGAAUCAACGCUGGCGGCGUGCCUAACACAUGCAAGUCGAACGCGAAAGUCCCGCAAGGGAUUAGUAGAGUGGCAAACGGGUGAGUAACACGUGGGUGACCUGCCUUCGAGUGGGGGAUAACGUCCCGAAAGGGACGCUAAUACCGCAUAACAUCCUGCCUUUGAAAAGGCGGUGAUCAAAGCUGGGGACCGCAAGGCCUAGCGCUGGAAGAGGGGCCCGCGCCUGAUUAGCUAGUUGGUGAGGUAACGGCUCACCAAGGCGACGAUCAGUA
rnacentral:rRNA from 1 species